rnacentral:tRNA from 1 species
AUCAGGAUGGCCAAGUGGUCUAAGGCGCCAGAUUCAAGUUCUGGUCUCCGAAUGGAGGCGUGGGUUCGAGUCCCACUUCUGACA